rnacentral:rRNA from 1 species
GACGAACGCUGGCGGCGUGCCUAACACAUGCAAGUCGAACGGAAAGGCCCUGCUUUUGUGGGGUGCUCGAGUGGCGAACGGGUGAGUAACACGUGAGUAACCUGCCCCUGACUUUGGGAUAACUUCAGGAAACUGGGGCUAAUACCGCAUAGGAUCUCCUGCUGCAUGGUGGGGGUUGGUAAGUUUCGGCGGUUGGGGAUGGACUCGCGGCUUAUCAGCUUGUUGGUGGGGUAGUGGCUUACCAAGGCUUUGACGGGUAGCCGGCCUGAGAGGGGGACCGGCCACAUUGGGACUGAGCUACGGCACAGACUCGUACGGGAGGCAGCGGAGGGGAGUAUUGCACAAUGGGCGGGAGCCUGAUGCGGCAACGCCGCGUGCGGGAUGACGUCCUUCGGGUUGUGAACCGAUUUCGCCUGAGACGAGGCGUGAGUGACGGUAACGGGUAAAGAAGCACCGGCUAACUACGUG